GAAGUGGAGUAAGGAUAUAUAGAAAGGGAGAUGUAUUGAAUGUUAGAUUUGUGGCUUGGAUAGUGAGACGGUGAGGUAAGUUGGAAAGCCCAAGUAGUAAAGUGGGGAAGGUGGAGAAAAUGGAGAUAACAGAGGUUGUGAAAAGAUCUAGAUGCUGAAGAUGUAAUAGAAACUACUAGGAGUGAGAGGCUCUGAGAGAGGAAGCUGAAUCAAGUAGGAGGAGACAUUAUGUCCCAGGAAAAAUCCCUGAAGGAGAGAGAAGGCCUAGAUAGAUGGAAAGGAACAAUUUGGACAUGUAUGCAUUUAAAAAUUGCGGGAUGAAUGGAAAUACUAGGGGAUAAAAAUAAAAUUGUUGAAGGGAAGUAGGGAGAGGAAUGAGAAUAAAAACUUAAAUGAGAAAAUGAGAGAGUGAGAGGAUAAGGAUGGGUGAUCAAAUGGCAGAACCAAAGAAUGAAUAGAGAGACCCAAACUCUGAUAUGUGAGUGACUGUCCAAUCUUGUUAAGAAGGAAUACAUGAAUGGCAAGGAGUAUGUGGUACGAGAUGGUUGAAUGGAGACGCACAAGGAGGAGAAGCAAAACUGAGGAGCCACAUCUCAAGAACUAUAUUUAGCCAGGGUGCCUGAGAGAGGGAGAAUGGAAUCCAUGUUGAGAUCUAGAUUGGGGCAAAUGGAUAAAAUAGACACUCAAGUGAUGUGAAAGGAAUGAAUAAAGAGGUAUAAGGAGCUGAGAAACCUGAAUGCCUAAAAAUCAGAAACAGAAAACAAUGGAAAGGAGAGAUCUAGAGUGUGAGGGUGAUCUGACUGAAGAGAGUGAGAAAUAAGACAUGUAUGAAGAGAGUUACUAAAAGAGUGAGCAACGUAUGGAAAGAGAGAGGAAGAGAGUGAGUAAUGUACUGAAAGAGAGCCAUUCAAAAGUAAGAGAUUCAUGACUGGAAAUAAUUGUGCUUUGCAAUAUGUGUGUGGAAGCAAAAGCCUAAGCCAUGAAGGAUGAAUAGCUAUAAAAUAUCAAAACACAUGAAAGAAUGAAUGGUGAGAUGGUGAGAGUCAAGUAUAUUACGCUGCAAAAGAGCCAUUGGAAGACAUGCAAGUAAAUGGUGAAGAGUGACAGUGAUGAUUGGCUGUUCAGAAAAUCUGCCUGAAGGGGGGGAAGUAUGAGAGAAGUGAUAUAUCGAAUGGGAGUGAUAUGGAGAAUCAAAGCUUUCCCCUGGGGGCUGCACGGCUAAAUCUAGCAAGCUGGAUUGUGACAGAUGUGUGAAAGGGGAACCUCCAGGUUUGUGUGGUCAGUUGAUUUAUAGGGGAGUAGACAAGAGUUUAGGUCUAGUACUAGUACAUAGAGCAUGAAUGAAUACAGAAGAGGCCGGGCCACUGUGAAAAAAAAAAGAAUGAUUGAGAAAAUGAGAGAGUGAGCGGAUGAGGAUGGGUGACUGAAUGGUAGAAUAAAAGAAUGAAUGGAGAGACCCAAACUCUGAUACAUGAAUGACUGUCAAAUCUCAAUGAGAAGCAAUGCAUGAAUGGCAGGAAGGAUGCGGUGUAAGAGCGUGAGGAGACACAUGCAAAGAGAAAUAGUUAGCUACAGUGACAGAGAGAAGGAGAAAGAAAUCCAUGUUGAGGCCUAAACUGUGGGGAAUCGAUGAUUUUAGACACUUGAGUGAUGUGAAAGUAAUGGGGGGAAAAAGGUAUAAGGAGCUGAGAAACCUGAAUGUCCAAAAAUACGAGAAAGAAAACAAAAGCAAGAGAGAGUUAGACAGUGAGAGGGAUUUCACUGGAGAGAGUGAAAAAUAAGAAAUAGAUGCAGUGAGGCACAAAAACUGUGAGCAUUGUAUGGAAAGAGACAGCAAGAGCGUGAGUAAUGUAUGGAAAGAGAGAGCAAAAGAUUGAAUAAUAUAUGGAAGGAGAGAGCAAGAGAGUAUGUAAUGGAUUGAAAAAGACUUGUACACAAGUAAGAGAUUCUUGGAUGGAAAUAACUGCUUUCCAGUGUGUGUGAGUGUGUGUGUGAAAGCAGAAGCCUAAGCCAUAUAGGAUGAAUAGCUGAAAAAUAGCAAAACACAUGAAAGGAUGAGAGGUGAGAUGGUGAGAGUCAAGUAUGCUACACUGUUAAAGAGCCAAUGGAGAACAUGCAAGAAAAGGGUGAAGAGUGUAAGUGAUUAUUGGCUGUUCAGAAAAUCUGCAGUAUGCAGUAACAAAGUUUAUCCCUCAGGCCAACGUGGCUAAAUCUAUCUAGCUAGAUUGUGACCAAUGUAUGAAAGGAGAAAGGUAGGUUUGUGUGGUCAAGGGAUCAUCGAGCUAUAGGGGCUAGACAAGAGUUUAGGUCUAGUAUUAAUAGAGCAUGAAUGAUUACAGAAGAGGCCGGGCCACUGUGAAAAAAGAACGAGUGAGAAAAUAAGAGAGUGAGAUGAUGAGGAUGGGUAGGACCAAAGAAUGAAUGGAGAGACCCAAAUUCUGAUAGAUGGAUGACUGUCAAAUUGCAAUGAGAAGAAAUGCAUAAAUGGCAAAAAGGAUGAAGUGUGAGAUGGCUGAAUUGAACAGCACAAGGAAGAGAAGCAAAACUGAGCAGCCACAUGCAUAGAGUAAUAGUUAGCUACAGUGACUAGAAUGUGGGAAAUGGAUAAAAUAGACACUUGAGUGAUGUGAAAGGAAUUAAUAAAGGGGUAUAAAGAGCUGAGAAACCUGAAUGUUUAGAACUCUGAGAGAAAAUAAAGGCAAGAGAGACCUAGACAGUGAGAGAGAUCCAAUUGGAGAGAGUGAGAAAUAAGAGAUAGAGAGUGAGACACCAAAAGAGUGAGCAAUGUAUGGAAAGAGAGAGGAAGAGAGUGGGUGAUGUAUGGAAAUAGCCCUGUACGCACAACAGAGAUAUUUGGCUGGAAAUAAGUGUGCUUUGCAGUGCGUGUGUGUGUUUAUGUGUGUGUGUGUGUAAGCAGAAGCCAUAGCCAUGAAGGAUGAAUAGCUGAAAAACAGCAAAAUCCUGAAAGGAUGAAAGGUGAGAGUGUAAUAUGCUAUGCUGCUGAAGAGCCACUGGAGAACAUGCAAGUAAAUGGUGAAGUGAUGAUUGAGUGAAGGAUGAGAGAAGUGAUGUACUGAAUGGGUUUAGUGUGGAGAGAAAAAGCUUAUCCCUGGGGCCAAUGCGGCUAAAUCUACCUAGCUAGAUUGUGACUGACGUAUGAAAGGAGAAACUCCAGGUUUGUGUGGUCAAGGGAUCAUUGAGCUAUAGGGGGGCAGAAAAGAGUUUAGGUCUAGUAUUAAUAGAGCAUGAAUGAAUACAGAAGAGGCCGGGCCAUUGUGAAAAAAUAAAGAACGAUUGAGAAAAUGAGAGAGUGAGAGGAUGAGGACGGGUGACCAAAUGGCACACAAAAGAACGAAUGGAGAGACCCAAACUCUGAUACAUGAAUGACUGUCAAAUCUCAUUGAGAAGGAAUGCAUGAACUGCAAGGAGUAUGUGGUGUGAGAUGGAUGCACAAGGAGGAGAAGCAAAACUAUGGAGCUACAACCAAAGAGAAAUAGUUACUAGCAUGCCUGAGUGAGAAAAGAAUAUGUGUUGAGACCUGUUCUGAGGGAAAUGGAUGAAACAGACACUUGAGUGAUGUGAAAGGAAUGGGUAAAGAGGUAUAAAGAGCUGAGGAACCUGAAUGUCCAGAACUCGGAGACAGAAAACAAAGACAAGAGAGACCUAGACAGUGAGAGAGAUCCAAAUGGAGAGUGUGAGAAACAAGAGAUGGAUGGAGAGAGAUACCAAAAGACUGAGCAGUGUAUGGAAAGAGCGAGCAAGAGAUUAAAUAAUGUAUGGAAGAAGAGAGAAAGAGAGUACAUAAUGAAUUGAAAGAGACCUGUAUGCAAUUAAGAGACAUUUGGCUGGAAAUAACUGUACUCUGCAGUGUGAGUGUGAAAACAAAAAACACAGCCCUGAAACAUGAAUAGCUGAAAAACAUCAAAUCAUGAAAGGAUGAGGGGUGGGAGUGUGAGAAUGAAGUAUACUACGCUGCUAAAGAGCCAUUGGAGAACAUGCAACAAAAUGGUGUAGAGUGAAAGUGAAGGAGUGAAGGAUGAGAGAAGUGAUGUGCUGAAUGGGCAUGAUGUGGAGAAACAACACUGCUCCCUGUGGGCUAUGCGGCUAAAUCUAGUGAGCUACGAUUUGACUGAUAUAUGAAAGGAGAAACUACAGGUUUAUGUGGUCAGUGGGUCUUGGAGCUAUGGGGAGGGGGUGGAGAUAAGCGUUGAGGUCUAGUACUAAUAGAGCAUGAAUGAAUACAGAAGAAGCCGGGCCACUGUGAAAAAAAAGAGUGAGAAAAUGUGAGAUUGCUGGUACGAAAGAUCAAGGGAGUGAGAAAUGUGAAGAUGGAAAGGCUCUGGAUGAGGGAAGCCUGAGCAGAGAAUUCUGUUAAUUUAACAAAGUGAGAAAGCAAAAUGGGAAGUAAUAAAGGAUGAGCUGCAGAUCAAAGGAAGAAAGCCAUGAUCUCAGAGGACAAGGAGAGAUAGAGUGGCUCUAGGGAACCACUGAGGUAGAGACAGGUACAUGUGGAUAGGGACUAGUGAGAUCUGGCUGCUACAAAUACUAUUUGAAUGUCAGACAUUUGUGUGAAAUAAGAUGUUGAAUGGGACUUGGAUGUGUAGAGCAAGGACAAUUUUGAGUGAUGAAUGGGACAUAUGCAGAAUGUGCGAGUUGAGUGGCUGAAGAGAAAGAGAGAGGAGAGUGGAGUGAGAAAUGCUGAGAGGGUGAAGCUAAGAAUGUGAGACAUAGAAACCACAAAGUGAGGAGUGAAAGGAGAGACCCAACCUCUGAUACUUAAGGGGACAGUCAAGUUCCAAUAAGAAAUAAGCAUGAAUGGAGCGAGGAAUGCAAUGUGAGAUGACUGAAUUGGGGAGCACGAGAGAAAGGAGUGAGAAUGAAUGAAAGAGAAACAUUUGGAUGAGAAAAGCAAAAAUGAAUGCCAACUGAGGACUACAGCGGGAAAAGUCUAUGAAAGGACACAUAUCAGUAGGGGAGCCCCAAUGGAUGCAAAGAAUGAUUGGUGCAGCGACUGCUUGGCCAAGAUCCAAUGGAAGAGUUCUUGAGAUUGAAAGAGAUGGAUGAAUGGAGAAAGGGGAAAAAAUGAAUAAUGGGGGGAACAAGAUUAAGAGCAAGUGAGGGAUAUAUGGAAAUGGAUGUUACAGGGUUAAUGAUUUGUGAAUGCAGAUCAUGAGACACAGUAAGGUAGGUUGGAAAGCCUAACAAGUAAAGGAAAGAUAGUUGAGAAAACAGAGAUAGCCAAGGCUGUAAGAAUUUCAAGAUGUUGAGGAUUUAAUAAGCAAUAGGGGAGAGAAACUUAGGCAGAGGCAGCUGAAUUAAGAGAAGUAUGAGAGAUGACUGUGUCCUAGGAAAAGUCUCUGAGGGGUGAGAUGUCUCAGAGUGAUAGAAGGGAACAAAUGGGACAUGCAAGCAUAAAGAAAGAAAGGGAUGAAUAGAUAUCAUGAGGUUUCAAAGUUGAAUCGAUGAAGGGUAGAGAGAGGAGAAUGGAGUGAGUAAAUAAGAGAGUCAGAGGAUGAGGAUGAUUGAUCGAAUGGCAGAACCAAAAGAAUGGAUGGAGAGACCCAAACUCUGAUAUGUGAAUGACUGUAUGAAUGGCAUAUUGUAUGUGAUGUGAGAUGGCUGAAUUGAGCACUGGGAGGAGAAGCAAAACUGAGGAGCCAAAUCCAAAGAGAAAGAGUUAGCCAGAGUGCUUGAGAAAGAAAGAAAAGUAUCCAUGUGGAGAACUAGACUGUGGCAAAUGGAUGAAGUAGAAUCAGUGUUGUGAGAGGAAUGGGUGAUGAAAUAUAUAUGUAUAUGUAUAUGUAUGUAUGUAAUGAGUACCACGAAUGUCUAGACUCAGAGAGAACAAAGGGAAGAGAGACCUAGAUAGUGAGAGGGAUCCAAAUGGAGACAGUGAGAAAUAAGAGACAGAAGGAAAGAGAGAUCAAGAGAGUAAGUGAUGUAAGAAAAGAGAGCUGGACACAAUUAAGAAGUGCUUGGUUUUACAUAAUUGUACUUUGUAGAAUAUGUGUAAAAGCAGAAGCCUUAGCCAUGAACGAUGAGUUCCUGAAAAAAAAAUCUAAACUUUGAAAGGAGGAAAAGCGAGAGGGUGAGAGCCAAGUAUAAUACACUGCUAAAGAGCCGUUGUGGGACAUGAAAAUGGGAAAGAGUGAAAGUAAUGAUUGGCUGUUUAGAAAAUCUACCUGAAGGAGUGAAGGAUGAGAGAACUGAUGUAUGGAAUGAGUGUGGUGUAUAGAGACAAAGAGGGAAAAGGAUGAGUGGAAGGAAACAUGCAAUGUAAGAACAUUGAAUUGGGGAGGAACAAGAAAAGGAAGAAUGAGUGGUGAGACUGCAUGAAAAGAGAAGCAUUUGGAGGACACUGCUAGAAAGGGAAAUGAAUAUGAGCAUAAGUCAAAGGUGUACAAAAGGUGAUUUCAGUAGGAGAGCCCAAUGAAUACUUCAAUUAAAGGAGGGAGAUUCUGCUGAUAUCCAGGAAUGAAAAGGCUAGGAAUUAGUGGAUAAGGACUGAAGACGGAAAGGAGAUACAUGAACAGAGAAAGAGGAAUAUUAGCAAUGGAUGUAAAAAGAGGCAAAGAGAGGGAGAGGUGUAUGGAAAGGAAGCUGUGCUCAGUGAACGUUUUAUGGCUGUAAGUAUUGAGACAGUAGGGUGGGUGGGAAGCCCAAGAAGUAAAGGAAGGAUGUAGGAGAAAAUAGAGAUAGUUGAGGCUGUAAGAAGGUCAAGAUGCUGAGAUUUAAGUAGGCAAGAGUGGGAGGGAUAACUUCAGGGAGAGAAAGCUGAAUCAAGAGCAGUAUGAGAAUUGACUGUGUCAUAGGAAAAGUCCCUGAGGGAGAGAGAAGCCCCAGACAUUAGGGAACAAGUAGGAGAUGUACACAAAGAGAAAGUGGGGAGUGGAUAUCCUGGGGUGUCACAGUUGAACGGAGAAAGAGAAGUAGGGAGAGGAGAGUGGAGAGGGAAAACGAGAGUGAAAAAGUAAGCAAGGCAGAACCCACAGAAUGAAAGGACAGACCCAAACUGAUAGAUUAGUGACAAAUGUCAAGAAAAAGGAAUGCAUUACAGGAUGAAGUCAGGGUGUGAGACAGCUGAAAUGACGAGUAAAAGGAAGAGAAGAAAGGAUGUGAAGCCAUAGCAAUGAAGAAAGUUAGCUAGGGUGCUUGAGGGAGGGGAAGAAGGAAUCAAUGUUGAGACCCAGAUAGUGAGAGAAGACUGAAUGGAGAAAGUGGGAAAUGAGAGAACAGUAACCACAUCUCUCUCCACAUCUCACCACCUUUAAAACAUUGAGAAGUUAAGUUACAGACCCCCCCAGAACUAGCUAUGAAAACAGCAGGGAGAAUGAUUCUGAACUUUGGGACAAUGACACACAUUUCCCCCACCUUACUCUAAGAGCUUAUCAGAGCCCAAGUCUAACAUAAAAGUAAAAAAUCAAGAUGUUGACUUGGCAAAUAGGCAAACCAUUAAAAGGUAUCUAUUGACAAGGAACCUCAAGACACAAACUCAGAUGACCACAAUAAUCUGAAAAUUUCAAAGAAAAAUGCAAAGUGGAACUAAACAAAAGAGAAAGAUGAAAAAAUGAAGCAAAAAUAAUUUCUUAAACUCAAAGAAGAACACUAGAGGAAACCUGUGGGAAAAAUGAGAGCAAUGCAAGAAAAAUAUGCAAAGAGAAUUGGUGGCUUAGAAAAAGAGAUACAAAAACAAUGAAAAAAUAACUACAUAUAAAGCAGAAUUGGCCAAGGGAAAAAAGAGGUACAGAGUAUCACUAAAGAAAAUAAUUCUUGAAAAGUUAGAAUUGGUCAAGUAGAAAGCUAAUGACAACUAUGAGUGAUCAAAAAACAAGAAAACAUAUCAAAAUAAUGAAAAAAUGUGAAAUAUCUUUUCAGAAAAACAAGUUACCCAGAAUUUCUUAAACUCAAAGAAGAACAGUAAAGGAAACGUGGAAAAAAUGAGAGCAAUGCAAGAAAAAUAUGCAAAGAGAAUUGAUGGCUUAGAAAAAGAGAUACAAAAAUACUGAAAAAUAACUACAUAUAAAGCAGAAUUGGCCAAGGGAAAAAAGAGGUACAGAGUAUCACUAAAGAAAAUAAUUAUUGAAAUGUUAGAAUUGGUCAAGUAGAAAGCUAAUGACAACUAUGAGUGAUCAAAAAACAAGAAAACAUAUCGAAAUAAUGAAAAAAUAGAAAAAAUGUGAAAUAUUUUUUCAGAAAAACAAGUUACCUGGAAUUUCUUAAACUCAAAGAAGAACACUAGAGGAAAUAUGUAGAAAAAUUGAGAGCAAUGUAAGAAAAAUAUGCAAAGAGAAUUGAUGGCUUAGAAAAAGAGAUACAAAAAUACUGAAAAAAUAACUACAUAUAAAGCAGAAUUGGCCAAGGGAAAAAAGAGGUACAGAGUAUCACUUAAGAAAAUAAUUCUUGAAAAAUUAGAAUUGGUCAAGUAGAAAGCUAAUGACAACUAUGAGUGAUCAAAAAACAAGAAAACAUAUCAAAAUAAUGAAAAAAUAGAAAAAAUGUGAAAUAUCUUUUCUUUUCAGCAAAACAAGUUCCCUGGAAUUUCUUAAACUUAAAGAAGAACACUAGAGGAAACAAUGGAAAAAAUGAGAGCAAUGUAAGAAAAAUAUGCAAAGAGAAUUGAUGGCUUAGAAAAAGAGAUACAAAAAAACACUGAAAAAAUAACUACAUAUAAAGCAGAAUUGGCCAAGGGAAAAAAGAGGUACAGAGUAUCACUAAAGAAAAUAAUUCUUGAAAAGUUAGAAUUGGUCAAGUAGAAAGCUAAUGACAACUAUGAGUGAUCAAGAAACAAGAAAACAUGUCAAAAUAAUGAAAAAAUAGAAAAAAUUUGAAAUAUCUUUUCAGAAAAACAAGUUACCUGGAAAAGAGAUCAAGAAAUGAUCAAUUAAGAAAUAUUAAGAAAGCCUCGACAUCAUAUUUCAAAAUAUUAUAUUAUAAAUGAAAACCGCCCAUGCUUUUUAGAACCAGAAAGUAAAAUAGAAAAUGAAAGAAUUUAUAGUCAUAUCCUGAAAGCAAAACCAAAAUGAAAACUCCCAGGAAUAAGAGACAAAUUCUAGAGCUUUUUACUUGAGGAGAGAAACUACUUAAAGCAUCCAGAAAGAAAAAAAUUUCAAUACUUUGCAGCCAUAGUCAAGAUCGCAUAAAAUUUAGCGGGUACUAAGAUAAAGGGGCAGAGGGAUUAUAUAACAAUUUCAUAAAAAAAAGAGGGGGAGGGAGGAAGAAGAAGAGGGGGAGAGAGAGAGAGACAGGAAGGGAGAGAGAGACAGAAAUAGACAGAGAUGGGGGAAGAGAGAGAGGAGCAGGCAGAGAGACAGAGAUAGAGAAACAGGAAGGGGAAGAAAAACAAGAGAUUGAGAGACUCAGACAGAAGGGGGCAAGAGAGAGAGAGGAAGGGAGAGAGAAACAGGAAGGGGGAGAGAGACAGAGGGAGACUCAGAAGGGGGGAGAGUAGCAAAAGAGAGGAGGGGAGACAGAGACAGGAGGAGGGAGAGACAGAUAGGAGUUGAGAGAGAAAGAGACAGAAAUGGGGAAGAGAGACAGACAGACAGGCACAGGAGGAGAGAGGGAGAGACAGAUAAGAAAGGAGACAGAGAUAGAGGAGGGGGAGAUCAAGACAGACAGAGACAGGAGGGGGGGAACAGAGACAGACAGGAGGGGAAAGAGAAAGAUAAAAGGGAGAGAGACAGGAGGAGGGAGAGAUUCAGGAUGUGAGAGACAGACAGAAGGGGAGAGAGAGAAUGGGGGGAGAGAAACAGAGAGAGGGGGAAGAGAGAGACAGAUCAGAGGAGGGAUAAAUAGGAAGGGAGAAAGACAGAAAGAGACAGGGAAGAGAGGGGGGGAAAGAGACAUAGGAGGGGAGACAGGGAGAGACAGGCAGGAAGGGAGAAAGAAACAGGAGGGGGAGAGAGCAAGAGAGAGUAAAAGAAAGGGCAAGAGAGCAACAGACAGGAGGCGAGAGAGAGAUAAUCAGAAAAAUAGAAAGGAGAUGAGAGAGAGAGACAGAUAGGAGGGAGAGAGAGACAGAGACAAGAGGGGAGAGAGACAGACAGAAAAACAAACAGGAAGGGAGAGACAGAGACAGGAGGGUAGAGACAGAUAGGAGUGAGGAGAGAAACAAAGGGAGAGACAGGGUGACAGAGAUAGAGGAGGGGAGAGAGACAGAGUGAAAGAGAUAGAGGGGGGAAAGAGUCAGAGAUAGGAAGGGGGAGAGAGACUGAGACAGAAAGACAGACAGACAGGAGGGGGGAAGAGCGAGAGAGAGUGAAAGAGAAGGUGAGAGAGCUAGAGAAAGGAAGAGGGGAGAGAGACGUAGAUAGGAAGGGGAGAGAGAGACAAAGACAGGAGGGGGAGAGAGAUAAUCAGAAAAAUAGAAAGGAGGGGAGAGAGGGAAAGACAGAGAGUGACAGAGAUAGAGGAGGGGAGAGAGAGAGACAGAUAGGGAGAAAGAGACAGUGACAGGAGCAGGGAGAGAGAGUCAAAGACAGGAGGGGGACAGAGAAAGAUAAACAGGAGGGGAGAGACAGAUGGGAGUGAGGAGAGAGAGAGACAAAAGGAAAGACAGUGACAGAGAGACAGAAAGACAGGAGGGGGGAGAGAGAGAGUGAAAGAGAGAUAGAAAAAGGAGGAGGGGAGAGAGACAGAAAGACAGGAGGGGGAGAGAGGCACACAGACAGACAGAAAGGGAGAGACAGAAACAGAGUAAAAGAGAUAGAGGGAGGAGAGGAAGAGGGGGGAAGGAAGAGGAUGGAGGAAAAAACAAAUCAACAGAGUGACCCCUUGAGUGAGAGAUGGAUGGGUAUAUUGAAAUAGCAAGGGAACAUUACAUAAUUAGAAAAAAUUAACCAGGAAAUGGUAGGUGAAUGGUCAAAGACAAAGAUACAGGGAGAGAAAAAUUGAUUGAGAAAGAUAGAUACAGCAGGGUGACAAUGAUUGAUGCACAGGCACUGAAAGUGUGAAUGGAGAAAUUCAGGCUGUAGGUAAGGUGACAGAGAGAUCUAACUAGCAGAAAGUGAAUGAACAGUAUGAAAUGUAAGAUGGCCGAAUUGGGAAUUAGCAGGAAAGAGAUAAAUGAACAAAAUGAAUCUUGUUAUAGAGAAUGAGACAAACGGAUCUCUUAGACUAGACACUUGGAGAUAAAGAAAUAAAAAGUUAGAAAGAAUUCAGCAUUGCAAAACCCAUGGCUGAAUAGCCCAAGAGAAGCAUGGAAUAGUGAAUGCUAAUAUUAAAAACCCAAGAAAAAUGGAAGAGUGUGUAAGAUAUCAAAAAAUGAAUUCGUGGAGAAAUCAGAAUCACAAAGAAAAAAUGGUAAGAGAGAUAAAAAUACAUGGAAAAAGUUAUACUAAGUGAGAGAUUCUUGGCUGAAGAUGCAUGUAUGAGUGAAUAGUUAAUAGUCAAAAUUGAAAUUAGAAAGAAGGAAGGAAUGACGAGAGUUCUACAAUGCAAGAUGAAGUGAGAACAGUUGGCAAGACUGAAAUGAAAUGGUUAGACGGAGCCAUGUUCGAAAGGAUAUUUAGAUUAGCUGAAGAAAGGAGACGUGAAUGGAUGGCAAGGCCUAGAAGGUAACAGAUGAAUGAAUAUUGAGGCAAAAGUAGCAAGGAUAUUGUGAUUACAAAGAGCUGGAAAAUGAAAAGCAAACGACUAUAUUGAGAAUUAGAUAUGGAAUAUUUGCUGAGAUCCUGACACUGAGAUUCAGGUGAAAGUACAAAUCUAGAAAGUAAGGUUUAGAUACUUAGAAAAACAACCCAAGUGGGAAAUGGAAGUGUAAAGUCAAGUCCCAAGUCAGAAUUACCUGCUUAGAAAAACACUCUGGAAUUGGCUGGGGAGAUAUGGAUUAAUGGAAAGGCUUAGACAGGGACGAAUGCAUUACUUGCAGGGACAGGUGGGAGUUAGGUGUGUAUACCAGCAGGGAGGUACUCAGAGAGACAGACAGACAGGAGGGAAGAGACAGAGACAGGAGUGGGGAGAGAGACAAACAAACAGAAAGGGAGAGACAGAGUGAAAGAGGGGGAAGUUAGGUGUGUAUACCAGUAAUACAGAUGUGAGGAAUAGGGUAAAAUGAGGGUGGGAAUAAUAGAGAAUUCUAGGAGGGAAAGAAAGAUAAAAGAACAGAAGGAGGGUUAGGCGUGAUCAAGAGAGACCCAAAUGGAGCUACACAACGGACGGAUCACAGCGAUGGAUUCCAUGGAGAAAAUGCAACGGAUCAAGAAACAGCUGGAGUGGAUCUGUGAUGAAGGAAUACAGAUCAGCAAACAGCAAUCCUGAGAGGUGAACAUUUACAGCUUUGGAGGCUACCUCACGAAUCCAGGAGAUCCAGAGACUUCGAAUAAGAGUUGUCCGACAAGAAGGAACUGUUUUCUUGCAACUGGACCCAUUUUUGGAGAAAUGAACAUACAUCGGGACUGGAAUGGACCAUGUGACCUUGGAAAGUUCAGAAGAGCUACUGGAGGUUCGGGAGCUUGAGUCCGAGACAAACUUGGUAAUCGCCGAGCCUAGUCUGCCAGCACGGCCCCAAGGGACAGCCAAGACGCCAGGUCCUACAAGCAAGAAAGCAACUCUGUCCAUUGCGCCACGUUCAGAAUUUAACAUGGCACGCAAAUGCAUUGGAGCAGAAACUUUAAGUUUCAUCUCACUUUCCUCAGGAACUAAGGUGGUUUGGGGGAAUAUAUGCCCUGGACUGUGUCUUCUCAGUGAAUAGAUCUUUGUAACAGGAAAUUGAUGUCUAUUGGUUAAAAGGAGGCAAUAAUAAACCCACAAGCACUGGCAACUGAUACUGAAUAAAAAACAUUGUUAAAGGCUCAGGCCAAAAGCAUUAGAACAAAACAUUUUCAAUCUUUCAGAGACAGUCCUAGAACCCUGAGGUGAGAUGGAGGAGCUGACCCUGGAAAGUCAAAGCUGCAGAGCACAGCCUGCAUACUCAGUUUCUCUCCUUACUGUUUCUUAGGAUCUUUGGGGAUGAAAGAGAGGGGAAGACUGGGAGGAAAAGCAGGAGGAGCAGUCUAAAUAUGAUUAAGGACCAAGUAUCACAUCUAGGAGCUCUGAAAUUUGUUGCCUUGUGUUUGUGCUGUUGUUUUUUUUGUUUUGUUUUGUUUUGUUUUUUAACAUGACCACUUUAUAUUGAUUGCAUCUUAUAAAUGAAAGAUUUAUCCAGAAUAAGGUAAUUCCAGAAUUGGGGCAGAAUGUGGCUGUAGAUUUUAUUUUUCUUAUUACUGAGAUAUAUGUAUUGCACCUUUAACUUAAAUUAAGGAGCAGGCCAGGACCACAUGCCUCCAUGGGAAGGGAACUAGUCUGAGUUUGUUCAGGCUGAGUUCCCUCUUGUAGCCAAUGGAGAUGCUAAAACAUUUGAGAAAGGCUAUUUGGGGGAGGUACCAGUGCAAGUCUAAUGGUGCCUCUAGGGUAAUGGCUGCAAUAGUGUCGCAUAGUCAACAAUUCAUAUGCUUCCCUCUCUCUUUAGAUGAUUACUAUCAUAUCUACCUACUAGGGCUUCAGGAUGGUGGCACAGGAACUGUGUGGACCAAGUCCAAUUCCAAGUAUUUCAUGCAGCCUUUACCAUUGUCACAGAGAGAUGAUGAUGAUCACAAGACAACUUUCCAAAAUUUAGGGGAGUCGGUGAAAGCAGUCCUCAAAAUCAUAUUUUCUCUCUGAAAACAUUAAUAUGAUGAAGAAAGAAUAUUAUUGACUGAGUAAUCUAAUCCUGGAAUACUAGGAUGAUUAGGAGAAACUUACCAAAUUUAGGGGAGUCGGUGAAAGCAGUCCUCAAAAUCAUAUUUUCUCUCUGAAAACAUUAAUAUGAUGAAGAAAGAAUAUUUUUGACUGAGUAGUCUAAUCCUGCAACGCUAGGGUGACCAGGAAAAACUUACCAAAAUUUAGGGGAGUCAGUGAAUGCAGUCCCCCAAAUCAUAUUUUCUCUCUGAAAACAUUAACAUGACGGAGAAAGAAUAUUUUUGACUGAGUAAUCUAAUCCUGGAACGCUAGAAUAACCAGGAGAAACUUACCAAAAUUUAGGGUAGUUGGUGAAAGCAGUCCCCAAAAUCAUAUUUUCUCUCUGAAAACAUUAACACAAUGGAGAAAGAAUAUUUUUGACUGAGUAAUCUAAUCCUGGAAUACUAGGAUGAUUAGGAGAAACUUACCAAAUUUAGGGGAGUCGGUGAAAGCAGUCCCCCAAAUCAUAUUUUCGCUCUGAAAAUAUUAACACAAUGGAGAAAUAAUUUUAUUAAUUGAGUAAUCUAAUCCUGGAACUCUAGGAUUUACUUACAAAAUGUAAAAGAAAAUUCUUCACAUGCUGAAAGAAUCAAAUUGAGAGUGUCAGUCAAGCAGCUUUACAAUUGGAAGCACAGAAACUAAGACUAUUGCCCAUUUCAUCAGUGUGCCCCAGGGGCUGAGGAAGGUGGGAGAGGAUAAGGAUGGGACAAAACAGCUCCCACUUGUGGGGUGGAACCUCAUCACAAGUAUAUAUUUAUGUUGGAUCCUUUUCCUGAACCCAGGAAGUAUCUUCACUGUAUAUGUACAUCCAGGAUGACAGUGAAUCCCACCCCAUCCUUCCCCUACCAGCAGCAAAAAGGGAGCAAGCCACAGUUCUCAGACUCUCCCUCCACUGCUAUAAAGGAGAGAGCGUCAACCCACAACUGUCAGCUCCCUUCCCUCUUCUCUUUCUCAUCAACUGCAAAGAAAGAACACCCAGUCACCAGAGUUGACACUAGGAAAUUUUGGGGGGACAAUAAUUCCAGGUGUCUUGCUGUGGGUUUGGAGUGGAGAUAUAGCCUCUUCCACUCUCAAAUUAGACACAAAGGAAAUAAAUCCUUCAUUAAAUCCCAUUGUUGCUGUUAAUUGGAACUAAGAAAUAAUGAGAGGUAGUUAUCUAUGCCCUAUGACACGAGACGUGCCUCUGGAUUCCUCCAGGAAGUGGAAAGUAUUGGGAUGGUUAGCGAGGAUUGUCUGAAGGGUAAGGGGAUAGUGGGGGGUGGUCAGCAAGUAGGCUUUGGGUGCCUUCUCACAGUCCUGCAAAUGGGGAAGGGAGGGACAACUUUGCUCCUAAUCCACGUGUAUAUGCUCCCCAUUCCCUCCUCCCUCCCAGCAUUGUACCCUCUGUUGCCAGGCUCCGUGCCCUUCCCUCUACUUAGUUCCCAUCAGCCAGCAAAAAGGAGAGAGUGACUAUACCUCUUUUUUCCUCCAAGCAGAACAAGUAAUCUUUGUAUGAAGUUAUAAUUUAGCUUAAUUUACUUAAAAACUUUCCCAUUUUAUAAAAAGAGAACAGUUUGGAACAAAAAAAGCAACUCUGCAAGAAAAAGAUUAGUGCUAAAUGGAAUCCAGCUCCCGCAGCCCGAUGCUCAGGAUCAGUAAAGGGCAUUACCAAGAUGAUUCCUUGCAUGUAUAGCUUGGACCACAUGGAAGUUGAGGUCCCUGUCAACUCUCACCAUCUAUAACCCUGUGGGUCUCAACUUUAAUACUCCUCUCAGAGAGUUCUACCAGUAGACAUACCCCCACCCAAUGUAGACACCUAAAGAAUGGGAACUAAAGAGGGCCCAAGUUUGACCCCAAGCGGAGAGCUAACUAAAAUGGCAGAAAAGGUCAGACUUGCAUAGUAUUAGAGAGACAGAAAUGGCAUGAAAUGAAACAAAAUUAAAUACAAGCACUUGAAGCAAGGGAGUUUAAACACAAGGUAUCGCUCAGGAAGGGAGAGUGGCUAUCUGACAUAAAGAAAACAGGAAAUGGGGAGCAGGGUGCUCUGGGAGCUCAACCCCUGCUUCUGUUCCUUUUCCAGAGAUAUCCUGCAUUGAAAUACAACUUCAAGCUCAUUCCCCAUGAUGAAUGCUCUACUCCUAGUGGGACUAAGAAAAUAAAUGACUGUGUCUGGGAGGGAGGAGCUUGUGUCUUCUUGGGAAUGCCCAAAGCACCCCAACAGCCUGUGGUCGAUUUCCACUCUUCUGAUUAAAACUUUUAUCAAGUAUGUCUUUGUGUACUGUCUUAAAUGAAAAACAGUGGGUAAUGGGCAUUAGGG
rnacentral:lncRNA from 1 species